CAGCCUGAGGAGGCUCCCGGAGCCGAGCCGCCUCCCCUUCCUGGGCUGCCCGCACAGGCUGGAAGUCGGGUCUCCAGGGGCAGAGAGGGGAGUUUGCUCCCUCAGGGUGGGGACCGCCGUCCGCAGGGUUGGAGCAGGGUCCCAGCCAGUGAGCCACUAGGCCAAGCGCUUCGGCCAGGGGACCAGAAAACAUGCACGGGGGGGAUUUUAUGACCCAUUCCGAUUUGUCUUGGUUUACAUGUGCCUCUAUGGUCUCUGCUCGGCCUGACUCCUGCUGCAAAUAUUAAAGUCAUGAGCAGAGCAAAGGUGGGCGCCUUCUCCUUACAUUUGGUGGGAGAACCACGUUGUUCCCAGAACCUGCGGUUUCCGUCCACGGACUGACCUAACUGAUUCACGGCGAGCUUCCCAGAAGCACUGCUGGGACCCUCCGGGGACAUGCAGGCUUGGUUCGGCCCGGCGCUGGUCCACAGUCUCAGGAGAUGUUGCCCGCGGGGCUGGGGUCCUGAAGCCGCACCCGCCGUGUCCUCAGGGAUCCUGAGUGAGGAGGAUGUCGGAGGACCACCGACCACGUGAUCUCCGCGGCGGCCACCUGAACGCUUACUGCUCCAGGAGACGUUACUUUUCCUUCACUUCCUUUUAUGCUGCCAUUUGGGCACUUGAUACUCCGUCUGCACGUUGUCGGAGGGACAAGGAGGCUCCUGCGGGAUAGCGCAGGACAGCGAAGAGGGGCUGCGAGGACGGAGGCUGAUGGGCAGGUGCGCACGCGCCCUGAGCCCCGGGGAGCCUGCACCUGCACCUGGGCUGCUCUGCCCUCCUGGCCCUGCCCUGCAGGGGGCCCUGACCCGACCUGGGGGGUGGGUGGCUCUGGCCUGUCCCUCCCCGCUACAUCAGGUGCACAAGGAAGAUUAGGAGCCGAAUCUGGGGGGAGGGGCCAGCCCCACACCAGGGCUGACGCAUCGGCUCCCUGGGAGAGACUGCUCACCUCCGGGACUCCCUGCAGGUGCUCGGACUGUGUGUCCCUGCGGGGCGAUUAGACGGACGACGGGAGGUGGGAGCGGUGGGCUGCUGGUCCCUGGGCUCUCUUUAUGUUUCGGAAGAAAAUAGAAAGGCACCAGAGCCACUUCCUGUCCGGCCUGGGGUCCCUCUGCAGAGAGGAGGGCUUUCCCGAGUGACCUGGAGCCGCCCGGUCUGGAAAAACCACUUCACCUCCGGCGGCUCCUGUCUCCUCCAAGCAGGCGCGGCCCAGCCCGGUUUCUCUGUUGAUUCCCAACCGGCCUUGCAAGCAGCUCCAGGGGCGGGUUCCAACACUAUUUGGAAUAAGAUCCUGGAAGUCAGCACAGGGGGCUCCCAGGAGACGUCGUCGCCAGACAUCCUGCCUCUGCUUGUGGACUUUCUGGCAGAUUCAGGGAGGCAAGAGAGAAGCAGCCAGACUCGUUCACACAUUCACACUGUGUUCACAUUCCAGAUGAUUCCCAGUUGAGCAGUGUGAGUGCAUGCUACUUCUGGUCACUCCAGACGCUGGCAGUUUUCCCCGGAGAGACCUGAUAUGGAGGGGUGUGUGUGUGUGUAAAUGUGUGCACGUGUGCAUGCAUGUGUGGGUGCAAACCAGUGCAUGCUUGUGCAUCCUUUCGGCCAUCUGGGCCACUGACAGCAUGUGGGGAGUCAGCAGGAUUCACGGGACCCGGCUGCGUCCCCAAGAGGCAUUGGGAGGCUUCCAUCCUGGACAAGCCCAUGGGCAUGAAUCUGGCUCCUCUUUGAAAGACAGAUUGGAGCAAAUGUGACAUGAGCUAUCCCCGGGGCCCAGCAGUCCCUGCACCUGCCCAGUGACCAGCCUGUCCAGAGAGGGUGGCAGUGCAGCCAGGCCCUGUUGAGACCCCUGCCUUCUCAGGUGUGGGGCCUUUCUCUCUGCACUCAAGCUGGGAUUCAGAACCGAGGCUUUCUGGACGUGCAUGUGCCGUGAACAGCCACCACCCCGUGAGCUGAUGUGUUACUAUUUUGUCUUGAAACUAAAUGACGUAAAUAAAGCCUCAUGUCCAUCUGUUCCGGUUGGACUUUGCCUGCAAA